rnacentral:tRNA from 1 species
GGCAAAAUAGUUUAGUUGGUAGAACAUUAGAAUCAUAAUCUAAGAGUCGUAGGUUCGAAUCCUGCUUUUGCUA